AGUGUCACAACAACGUCAUGGAAGAGGCAGUGUGGAGAUGUUGCUAUGGGUGAUGCUGAGUGAGGGUUGAAGGAGGCUACUUCAUUCACAGACGUCCACUCACCUGGUCUUGGUGUGGGUCUCCUUAGAUUCAUCUUGUUGGGACUCCUCUCUGUGAUUCCUGGACCUGGAUAUCCAUUUUCUUCUCAGGCUAUGCACAUUCAUCUGGAAUGGAAGGUGGUGACUAAGGAACCAGCAGAUAAGAGAUUUGUAUCUUUUAGGGUUGACCUAUAUAUUUUAUCCCCAAGAAGCUGGAGACCAUGCCACUUCAUCCAUCCUGUGGAUAAUAUUAAACAUAUGUGAUAAGUGGCGUUAUCCUGCCCUUGAGAAACUUGUCGUCUAAUUGAGGAGAAGAGACCUCACAUGUGGAACAAAUCCAGAAGUACUGAAGGCACCUACCACAAAGGCUUCACACAUUAAAGAACUGAGAAUUAUUUGGCUAUAAAAUUAUUUGGCUAUAAAAUUAUUUGGCUAUAAAAAAGAAUCUAAAUUAAUGGCAUGGCCAAUACAUGCCGUAGUUCCAAAGAGGCUGCUACAAGUAUGAGCCAACAUUACCUGGGGAUGUUCGAGAAGGCAGUGAGUGUAUAAGCUGAACUUUAAGGAAAUCUGUAGGCGUUGAAGGGGUAGAGGAGAAAAACAAGGGCGUUCUAGGUGGCAAGGCUGCUGCACGCCCACCCACAUGUCCCCAGGUAGGUCUGGGAGGAAUGAAAAAGGGGUUGGAAAGGCACGUUAGGCAAGGCCUUGAGUGCUUUCAGAAAAGUUUACACCCGGUUCUCCAGGUAAAGGCAGCAUUUGACAAGUUGCCUUUUCUUUUUUUUUUUCAAUCAGAGUAGUGGCAGGUACGAAAGCAUGGGCUGAGGGGCUGUGGUGAAUAGGAUGUUCUGGGUGAUACAGGGAAUAGGGUGUCCGGCUGGGGAGGUCCUUUAAUGGACCCAGCAGCGAGAGAAGAGGGCAGGAGAAUGAUGAGUGGUCCCCUUAAGUGCCAAAUGCCUUUCAUAUGUGAUCCCGUUUGUUUUUAUCCUCUGGAAAUCCUGCACAGUGGCUCUGGCUCUCCUUACUUUAAAGAUGAAGAAACUGAAGCUUGGGCUGCUGGGAGCUCAUGAGCACAAAGUUACUGCACGUCCUGAUUCAACCUCCACGUCGCAAGUGCCAACAACAGAGCUCGUAUCCCCCUCACAGACACACAAGCGUGGUCAGCUCAUCCACUGCCACUCUUCCCAAAAGGCUGGGAAAGCGAAUCACGAACGUUAAUUGAAGUCAUCUCCUUCCUGAAUUCCACUGUGGUGAUCCCGUGAUAUGAUACACCUGUGAGCCUUUUCUCCCUUUUCAGGUGCUCUGGGGAAGAUAUACUUCAUAGUAUUUACAUUUUGGAAUCUUGAAAAGCCGGUUGUAAUUAAAUUCCU